rnacentral:rRNA from 1 species
UAUCUCUGUAGAGUCUGCAUAUCAAUAAGCGGAGGAAAAGAAACUAACAAGGAUUCCCUUAGUAACGGCGAGUGAAGCGGGAAGAGCUCAAAUUUGAAAUCUUCAAGGUUCUACCUUGACGAAUUGUAGUUUAUAGAAGUGUUUUCUGUUAGUAGAGUGGCAAAAGUUCUUUGGAAUAGGACAUCAUAGAGGGUGAGAAUCCCGUAUUUGGUCAUUCUUUCUAGCUUUGUGAUACACUUUCAACGAGUCGGAUUGUUUGGGAAUGCAGUCCAAAAUGGGUGGUAAAUUUCAUCUAAAGCUAAAUAUUGGCGAGAGACCGAUAGCGAACAAGUACCGUGAGGGAAAGAUGAAAAGAACUUUGAAAAGAGAGUUAAACAGUACGUGAAAUUGUCAAAAGGGAAGCGUUUGACACCAGUGUUGUUUUUCCGAAAAUCAAUUACGAAUGUUUUGUUUUUGAGAAGUUAUGACUUCAUCGGCUUGCUUCUUUCUUUACGAAACUUUCUUAAUGCACUUUUCGGUUAACAAGUCAACAUCAAUUUCUUUUGUUGUAAAAGGGUAUGAGGAAGGUGGCUUUCUUUUCGGAGAAAGUGUUUAUAGCCUUGUGACCUCUGCAAUCGGAGAGAUUGAGGUCUGCAGCGUAGAUCCUUCGGGGUUAGACUACAUUUGUGCUAAGUUAUAGCUUUUCAUAGACAACUUGUUGACUAUGUUUAGUCUUGUAGCUUACUCGCUUAUGCUAUUUUACCUACGCUUAGGAUGUUGACGCAUGAGAUAUACGC